GGAGCCGCCCGCCACCGCCCGCCUGCCGCCGCCGCCGCCCUCGCCCGGCGCUGUCAGGUGCCCCGCCGCCCGGCCCCGGAAUACGCCGGUUCCUAGCUGAGGAUGCCGCCCGCCGCCGGUCGCUCCAGUUCAUCUGUUGCUGCCUGACCGCGCCGCCAGCCCCGGUGCAGCCUCCGCCGAUGGAUGCGGCAACCCCCGCGCCCUGCCCGUCCGCAGCCGCCCCGCUGGCCAUCGUGCCGGGAACGACUCCGGAGCUCCGCGGCUGGUAAAAAAAAAAACAAAAACAAAACCAAAACAAACCAAAACCAAACCAACAACAACAAAAAAAAACAACAAAAGAAAAAACCUAACAAAAUACAAAACCAAAACCAAACCAAAAACCAGCCCCCUCCCGGUCUCA